UACGUAGGGGGCAAGCGUUGUCCGGAAUCAUUGGGCGUAAAGCGCGCGUAGGCGGCCAGAUAAGUCCGGUGUGAAAGUCACAGGCUCAACCUGUGAAUGCCGCUGGAAACUGUCUGGCUUGAGUCCGGAAGGGGCGAGUGGAAUUUACGGUGUAGCAGUGAAAUGCGUAGAUAUCGUAAGGAAGACCAGUGGCGAAGGCGAAUCUCUGGACAGUUACUGACACUGAGGCAACGAAGGCCAGGG
rnacentral:rRNA from 1 species